GCUCCAGAAAAAGAACAUUGAUUCAGUCCAUAUCAAAGUGAGCAUCCAACAGUUCCAACAAGAAAUACAAAAGAUCAGGUAACUUUAUUCCUGUAAUAUGAUCAUUAUUUGCUUUCUCUUUCAUUUUUAACUCUCUUUAUCCUUUGCCAAAAUUAUAAUAAAUUAUCUUUGUCCUUUGCAGAAACUCUCUCCACUCCAUUGGUGAGCAAAGCAGUGGUUCUCGUCCAACAAAGAGGCGCCGGGCGCUCAGUUCGGAAGACCGUGAAAGGAUUGCAGCAGAGGUCUGUGACACAAUCCUGGGACACACUAGGGAGCGUUUCUCCUUCACAGACCACCUUGUCUGUGCCACCUUGUUGCAGGGGGACAGGUUUGAUGAGUACAAGGAUACCUUUCCUGAAGAUGCAUUGAGCAGCACCAUGAAAGCGUACCCGAUGCUCAGUGGAAGCAAGCUGAAGACGGAGCUCAGUCUCAUCUACAGCAAGGAAGAGUUCAGAGCCAGCCGUGGUGCUGUGGACCUAUUCCAGCUGUUUAUGGAGAAUAAUCUCGAAGAAGUCUUUUCCGAAACUGUGACUCUCCUAAAAGUUAUCAUUACCACACCCAUGACCACGGCUGAAGCUGAGAGGUGCUUCUCAACCUUGAAACGAAUAAAAACUUUUCUCAGAAACACCAUGACCCAGGAGAGGCUGAAUGCACUGGCAUUGCUGUCCAUGGAAAAGAGACUUGUUACGGAGAUGACUGACUUUAAUCAGAGAGUAGUUGAGAAAUUUGCUGGCCAGAAAGAAAGAAGAGCAAAAUUUAUGUUCAAGUAGGAAACAUGCUUUUUGGUACUUUGGUCUGAAAUGUAUAUAAAAGAGAAACAUUUAUGUUCAAGUAGGAAACAUGCUUUUUGGUACUUUGGUCUGAAAUGUAAAUAAAGAUCAUCAAAAUUUA